rnacentral:lncRNA from 1 species
CUCAUUCUUCUCAUCUGAAAUUUUUCAGCUCUUCUUUCUGUUGGCUGAGGAAGGGAUUUAUCCAGGGCUACUGCAAAGGCAAGGGGAAGCAGUGAGAAGAAUUGAGCUGCUAACGACACAGAACAUGGACUCCUGAUUGAAUACCAAGGCAGUAAAUCAAUUGAGGAUCUUUGCUACCGUUCAUGAAAUGCUCCAGCUGUGCUCCGGAGGAUUAUAGUGUCAACAGAACUCUUGAUUUGAAUCACAGCCUUGCCUUCACUCAGGGGCUGUAUAUUAGUCUUGAAAAGCAGACAGUGUUUCAUCGCUCAAAGAAAAGAGAAUUGCUGAGCUGAAAAUAAAACGAUGAUGUAGGGGAGGAACACUGUGACAUGACUAAAGAAGAUGGAUAGCAGAUUUCAGCAAAAUUCUCUAGAAAAUCACACUUUUUUUCCAUUUUACAAGACUUUAGUAUUUUCUGCUGGUUCCUGGUGUAGAGGACAUUGUGAUGCUUGAUUUGAUGACUUCUGUGCAGAUCCCAUCACCACUUUCAGUUAUUUUGCAAGGGUAAGAAAAUUUGGAAACGUGGUUCACCAUUGCCUGUACUUUUUUUUAAGCCAAGAUCUAUUCUGUUUGCAACAUAUUAUGUUGUUUAAUAUACAUUAUUUUAGCAUCUUUUUACAUGUGUUUUGGGAAGGCAGAUAUAAAAGAACUUUGACUUUCUUAUUCAGACACAAUUUCUUUCUAUUGUUGGAUUAUUACAAAAAAGGUACAAAGGUGGAAGUAAAAAGGAAUAUAGUUUUUGAUAUAAAGAUGCCUUUAGAUUUUGAUCUUUAGGAAUGUAAGCAGUGCUAUACCUAUGCUUACUAGGCAUUGUAAGCUCAUCAUAUCAAUCAAUUUUAAAACUCUCUUUCACAAAACUCUUCCCUUAGCUAUGGAAGAUUCCACUAACUGGUUUUAAAAGAUCUUACAGUUACUCAGUAAAUAGCCCACAAGAAGACCUCCAUGAUAAUGUCUUCAUACGGGAUUUAUACCUGUUUCCAUUUAAUGUCUUAUUUCUCUUACAG